rnacentral:rRNA from 1 species
GACGAACGCUGGCGGCGUGCUUAACACAUGCAAGUCGAACGGUGAAGCGAGUGCUUGCACUCGUGGAUCAGUGGCGAACGGGUGAGUAACACGUGAGUAACCUGCCCAUCACUCUGGGAUAAGCACUGGAAACGGUGUCUAAUACUGGAUACGACCAACCCUUGCAUGGGGUGUUGGUGGAAAGAUUUAUCGGUGAUGGAUGGACUCGCGGCCUAUCAGCUUGUUGGCGGGGUAAUGGCCCACCAAGGCGACGACGGGUAGCCGGCCUGAGAGGGUGACCGGCCACACUGGGACUGAGACACGGCCCAGACUCCUACGGGAGGCAGCAGUGGGGAAUAUUGCACAAUGGGCGAAAGCCUGAUGCAGCGGCGCCGCGUGAGGGAUGACGGCCUUCGGGUUGUAAACCUCUUUCAGCAGGGAAGAAGCGAAAGUGACGGUACCUGCAGAAGAAGCACCGGCUAACUACGUG